rnacentral:rRNA from 2 species
UGAAGGGCGUGCUAAUCUGCGAUAAGCGCCGGUAAGGUGAUAUGAACCGUUAUAACCGGCGAUACCCGAAUGGGGAAACCCAGUGUGACUCGUCACACUAUCAUUAACUGAAUCCAUAGGUUAAUGAGGCGAACCGGGGGAACUGAAACAUCUAAGUACCCCGAGGAAAAGAAAUCAACCGAGAUUCCCCCAGUAGCGGCGAGCGAACGGGGAGGAGCCCAGAGCCUGAAUCAGCAUGUGUGUUAGUGGAAGCGUCUGGAAAGGCGCGCGAUACAGGGUGACAGCCCCGUACACAAAAGCGCAUGUGCUGUGAGCUCGAUGAGUAGGGCGGGACACGUGGUAUCCUGUCUGAAUAUGGGGGGACCAUCCUCCAAGGCUAAAUACUCCUGACUGACCGAUAGUGAACCAGUACCGUGAGGGAAAGGCGAAAAGAACCCCGGCGAGGGGAGUGAAAAAGAACCUGAAACCGUGUACGUACAAGCAGUGGGAGCCCCACCACCAAAGCAUUUGCUGUACCGCGUUGACGGAGCGAAGCGACGUCAAACCGAUAAAACAGCAGUGUAAAGUGAGCCGCAGGGCGCUUUGCGCGACAGCGCAAAGGCAGGCGGUUUCGCGUAGCGAAAGCGAAUGCUUUGGGGUGGGGUGACUGCGUACCUUUUGUAUAAUGGGUCAGCGACUUAUAUUCUGUAGCAAGGUUAACCGAAUAGGGGAGCCGGAGGGAAACCGAGUCUUAAUUGGGCGUUAAGUUGCAGGGUAUAGACCCGAAACCCGGUGAUCUAGCCAUGGGCAGGUUGAAGGUUGGGUAACACUAACUGGAGGACCGAACCGACUAAUGUUGAAAAAUUAGCGGAUGACCUGUGGCUGGGGGUGAAAGGCCAAUCAAACCGGGAGAUAGCUGGUUCUCCCCGAAAGCUAUUUAGGUAGCGCCUCGUGAAUUCAUCUCCGGGGGUAGAGCACUGUUUCGGCUAGGGGGCCAUCCCGGCUUACCAACCCGAUGCAAACUGCGAAUACCGGAGAAUGUUAUCACGGGAGACACACGGCGGGUGCUAACGUCCGUCGUGAAGAGGGAAACAACCCAGACCGCCAGCUAAGGUCCCAAAGUCAUGGUUAAGUGGGAAACGAUGUGGGAAGGCCCAGACAGCCAGGAUGUUGGCUUAGAAGCAGCCAUCAUUUAAAGAAAGCGUAAUAGCUCACUGGUCGAGUCGGCCUGCGCGGAAGAUGUAACGGGGCUAAACCAUGCACCGAAGCUGCGGCAGCGACACUGUGUGUUGUUGGGUA